GUUUAGCAUAACUUGAAGAAUCUAUAGCAAACAAAAGUAUAUGUAUACUUGCGAGUAUGGAGUAUUUUAUUCUGAAAAACCUACUCAGGCAGUAGAAAAAUGAAAUGAAAUACAGAAUAAGAAUCGAAACGAAGAGACAAGAAAGUAAAAGGAACGAAAGAAAAAAAUUGACACGCCGCUGGUUCAGAGCGCUGUUAACGUAAACGAACAAGUCGAUUGACCUACGGGUACGUAUAAUGGAAAGCAUACACGAUCGAUAAAGCCUGCAUAUACGUAUCGUAGAAAAAUUCACAAGCAGUUUGGAAUGACGGGUUUACGUUCUGAAAAUUACAAAUGAACGUGUGUGUUCUAUUUCAAGGAGUAUCAAGGAAUAAAGAUUCCAGCAGACGAAUGACAACAAAAGAGACUGAUAGAAGUCGCGCGCGAGACAGUGGAUUUUUUCACGACUUCACCGAAGAAUUGCAGUUUUUUCGGUUCUGUUACUUGCCGCGGAUAACGUUUAAUUGGUCGUGGUGAAAGUGUCAAGGAAUAUGAAGAGAAGAAAUGUCGAGUGCGGUAAGCUUCGGAGGCCCUUGAAACGCAACAAGCUCACCGAGGGAAUCUACGGAAGUACUUUACUUUAUCUAAAAUUUCUUCUGCUAUGGGCCAUGGUAAUUUUGGCAGACUUCAUUUUAGAAUUCCGUUUUGAAUUUUUGUGGCCAUUUUGGCUACUUCUAAGAAGCGUUUACGAUUCUUUUAAAUAUCAAGGCUUGGCCUUCUCUGUAUUUUUUAUUUGUAUCGCGCUCACAUCAGAUAUGAUUUGCUUCUUUUUCAUACCAGUACAUUGGUUGUUCUUUGCUGCCAGCACUUAUGUUUGGGUACAAUAUGUUUGGCAUACAGAUAAAGGUGUAUGCCUACCAACUGUGAUGCUAUGGUUACUAUUUCUAUAUAUAGAAGCAGCAGUUCGAUUAAGAGAUUUACGACAUAUGCCUUUUCAUUUGGAUCUCUGUCGGCCAUUUGCAGCGCAUUGCAUUGGCUACCCUGUAGUUACGUUAGGUUUUGGUUUUAAAAGCUACAUUGGCUACAGAAUGAGACAGAGAAAACAGAAAGAUGUAGCAAAAGAAAACGAAUUCUAUCUACAAUUGUUGCAGCAAGCACUGCCUUUAGAGCAACAAACCUCUACUACGAUGCAACCAAUUCAGCAAGUUCAAUCACAAACACAUAUUAUUACAUCGUUAGAACAACAUGUUAAAACACAAUCUAAUAAAUUAAAUUCACAGUGCAAUCCAAGCCCUGAAAAAAGUAGAGGUAGAAACAAUAAUAAUUCUGUGGAAACAGGUGUACAAAAUGGUAAUAUACAUAUAGGUUCACAAAUUACACCACAAAACCAAAAUGUUACAACAAAAAAUAAUCACAGAAAGUCCUUAGAUAAAGGUGAAAAGCAAGAGGAACAACAUAAUAAGCAUAAUAUAACAAAUGUAUCUCAGUCUGACAAAAAUGAUAAAAGGUUUAUACAUACAAAUGGAAACACAAUUGCUCAGAGUGAUAUACAAUUCAUUGAAAGAAUUGGAUCUGUAAAUGAUUUUGAUGCAAAUGAAGUAGAAAAAGACAAAUUCAUCAAGAGUGGAAGUUGUGGGCAUGCUACAAUGAAAUCGCAAACUAAUGGUUCAGUAACAGGAAAGUGGAACAAUAUAAAGGAAAAUCGAGAACCAUCAUCAACUGUUAAUACACAACGAGAACGUAAAACUCGGCAAGUCAAAUCUACAGUUGAUAACAUAACUGAACAACAAAAGCAACAAGAUGAUUAUUGUCAAAGGUUACUGAUGUGUCGCAGGCUCGAGGCUGACAUAAAACGUUUAAAGUCGGAUCUGCAAUCCAGUCGACAAUUAGAACAAGAGCUUCGUUCUCAGAUAAAUACUUUACAAAAUGGAGAACGUCAAGCUAAGGGUGAUAUACAACAGCUUCAACAUGAUAAUGAUCAAUUACAAAGCAAAUUACAUGGAUUGGUAACAGCUCGUCAAUUAGAUAAGCAAACAAUGUCUUCGUUAGAAAAACGAAUUGCGGAAGAACGGAAACAGCGUACUGCUUGUGAAGCGUCUUUAGUUUCUGAAAGACGAGCGCGGCGAGCAGCGGAAGAGGCACGAUCUGCAAUUCCGCCUCCUCCCCCGCCCCUAAUUAGACAAGAAUGUACAGAUACGUGUAAAACACGGAGGUCACAAAUGGAACAAGAUCUCAAGAAUUUGCGACGAGAACUUAAAACAAAAGAAGAAAGGUGUAUCGCGCUAGAAAAAGAUGUAACUCGUUGUAAAGAAAAUCAUAAAGAAUCUGAAAUUUUACUUGGUGCACUUAAUGUGUUACAAGAUAAAACUGCUCAUUUAGAAGACAGUUUAAGUGCAGAAACGCGAAUAAAACUUGAUUUAUUUUCUGCACUUGGUGAAGCUAAGCGACAAUUAGAAAUUAGAGAAAGUUUAAUUAGAUCUCAAGAAAAAGAAAUUGAAAUGCUAAAAACAAAAAUAGCCCAAGAUUUAGCUGUGAUGCCACAAGAUACAUUUGGACCUGCGCCAACCUGUGCGACAUCUAAGCUUCGGUUAAAUAAUGAAGUACGAGUUGCAGGUACAAAAAUACGUUCAAAUGAAAGUCCCUGUCCAGGGUGUACAGUAUCGAACUUGGAUCCAAAUGCGACAGCAUAUACACCUAAGAAUUCCUUAAUAGCGUCUACUGAAGCUUGAAAAAACUACAAUUUUGGCCACGUUAAGGCUUUACAAAAAUUGGAUAUAUAUAACAUGAACAUGUUUCAGUUUGUUUCUCAAUGGAAGUGGAAAAACUGGUUUUACUUUUUUACGAUAAAAAUGUUUGCAAUUAAAAUGCUUAAAACUUACAAGUGUUCGAUGUACAACAAUU
rnacentral:misc_RNA from 1 species